rnacentral:ncRNA from 1 species
AACAAACCAAUGAGCAAGAAGAGUAGCUUAUGAACAACAUGUCCAGAGAACUGCAGGUGGUGAGAUUGCAGUGAUGAUUUCUUAAGUGAAUGGACUUGCGAGGGCAAACCGAACGAGCGAAUCUAGUAGGGGCGACGGAGACUUCCCGUUAUAGAAAGUACAUAUAUGUUAGUAUAUGGUUGAGUGCAUCAGAUUUUGAUGAAUAUAGGUGGCACCGCAGGAGUGUUGUAUUUGUAUCUUGUCCUAUAA